GGAUUAGAUACCCUGGUAGUCCACGCCGUAAACGAUGUCUACUAGCCGUUGGGGAACUUGAUUCUUUAGUGGCGCAGCUAACGCACUAAGUAGACCGCCUGGGGAGUACGGCCGCAAGGUUAAAACUCAAAUGAAUUGACGGGGGCCCGCACAAGCGGUGGAGCAUGUGGUUUAAUUCGAUGCAACGCGAAGAACCUUACCAGGUCUUGACAUCCUGCGAAUUUUCUAGAGAUAGAUUAGUGCCUUCGGGAACGCAGUGACAGGUGCUGCAUGGCUGUCGUCAGCUCGUGCCG
rnacentral:rRNA from 1 species